AUGGAGUUUGGGCUUCACUGGGUUUUCCUUGUUGCUCUUUUAAAAUGUGUCCAGUCUGAGGUGCAGCUGAUGGAGUCUGGGGGAGACCUGGUGAAACCUGGGGGGUCCCUGAGACUCUCCUGUGCAGCCUCUGGAUUCACCUUCAGUAGCUACUACAUGAGCUGGGUCCGCCCGGCUCCAGGCAAGGGGCUGCAGUGGGUCGCAUGGAUUAGCUAUGAUGCAAGUAGCACAAGCUACGCAGACUCUGUGAAGGGCCGAUUCACCAUCUCCAGAGACAACGGCAAGAACACGCUGUAUCUGCAGAUGAACAGCCUGAGAGCCGAGGACACGGCCAUGUAUUACUGUGCUGGGGGAAAAGUCCAUGAGAACAUCCUUGGGCUCUGUGUCUGA